rnacentral:rRNA from 1 species
UACGUAGGGGGCUAGCGUUGUCCGGAUUUAUUGGGCGUAAAGAGCGUGUAGGCGGCCAGGUAGGUCCGUUGUGAAAACUCGAGGCUCAACCUCGAGACGUCGGCGGAAACCCUCUGGCUAGAGUCCGGAAGAGGAGAGUGGAAUUCCUGGUGUAGCGGUGAAAUGCGCAGAUAUCUGGAGGAACACCGGUGGCGAAGGCGACAUCCUGGACCGGUACUGACGCUGAUGCGCGAAAGCGUGGGGAGCAAACAGG